AUUGAACGCUGGCGGCAGGCCUAACACAUGCAAGUCGAACGAGUGGCGGACGGGUGAGUAAUGUCUGGGAAACUGCCCGAUGGAGGGGGAUAACUACUGGAAACGGUAGCUAAUACCGCAUACCAUCGGAUGUGCCCAGAUGGGAUUAGCUUGUAGGUGAGGUAACGGCUCACCUAGGCGACGAUCCCUAGCUGGUCUGAGAGGAUGACCAGUGACAGUGGAAUGGAGACACGGUCCAGACUCCUACGGGAGGAAGGAGGGGGGAAGAUUGCACAAGGGGCGCAAGCCUGAUGCAGCCAUGCCGCGGGUAUGAAGAAGGCCUUCGGGUUGUAAAGUACUUUCAGCGGGGCGGCGUGACCCGCAGAAGAAGCACCGGCUAACUCCGGGCCAGCAGCCGCGGUAAUUC
rnacentral:rRNA from 1 species